UCUUUAGGAUUCAUAUUUCUAAGGUUAACAAAUUUUUUUUAAUUUUUUGAUUUUGAAA
rnacentral:tRNA from 1 species